CAAAAGAACGAGGUAGAUGAAGAGGUCUGGAAAGGCCCGCCAUAGGAGGUAACAGCCCUGUAGUCAAAACUUCGUUCUCUCCUGAGUGGAUCCUGAGUACGGCGGAACACGUGAAAUUCCGUCGGAAUCCGGGAGGACCAUCUCCCAAGGCUAAAUACUCCCUAGUGACCGAUAGUGAACCAGUACCGUGAGGGAAAGGUGAAAAGCACCCCGGAAGGGGAGUGAAAGAGAUCCUGAAACCGUGUGCCUACAAGUAGUCAGAGCCCGUUAACGGGUGAUGGCGUGCCUUUUGUAGAAUGAACCGGCGAGUUACGAUCCCGUGCAAGGUUAAGUUUGAAAAGACGGAGCCGCAGCGAAAGCGAGUCUGAAUAGGGCGCAUGAGUACGUGGUCGUAGACCCGAAACCAGGUGAUCUACCCAUGUCCAGGGUGAAGUUCAGGUAACACUGAAUGGAGGCCCGAACCCACGCACGUUGAAAAGUGCGGGGAUGAGGUGUGGGUAGGGGUGAAAUGCCAAUCGAACCUGGAGAUAGCUGGUUCUCUCCGAAAUAGCUUUAGGGCUAGCCUCAAGGUAAGAGUCUUGGAGGUAGAGCACUGAUUGGACUAGGGGCCCCUACCGGGUUACCGAAUUCAGUCAAACUCCGAAUGCCAAAGACUUAUCCUUGGGAGUCAGACUGCGAGUGAUAAGAUCCGUAGUCGAAAGGGAAACAGCCCAGACCGCCAGCUAAGGUCCCAAAGUAUACGUUAAGUGGAAAAGGAUGUGGAGUUGCUUAGACAACCAGGAUGUUGGCUUAGAAGCAGCCACCAUUUAAAGAGUGCGUAAUAGCUCACUGGUCGAGUGACUCUGCGCCGAAAAUGUACCGGGGCUAAACGUAUCACCGAAGCUGCGGACUGUUCUUGCGAACAGUGGUAGGAGAGCGUUCUAAGGGCUGUGAAGCGAGACCGGAAGGACUCGUGGAGCGCUUAGAAGUGAGAAUGCCGGUAUGAGUAGCGAAAGAGGGGUGAGAAUCCCCUCCACCGAAUGCCUAAGGUUUCCUGAGGAAGGCUCGUCCGCUCAGGGUUAGUCGGGACCUAAGCCGAGGCCGAAAGGCGUAGGCGAUGGACAACAGGUUGAUAUUCCUGUACCACCUCCUCACCAUUUGAGCAAUGGGGGGACGCAGGAGGAUAGGG
rnacentral:rRNA from 1 species